rnacentral:misc_RNA from 1 species
GAAAUGCGAUAAGUAGUGUUAAUUGCAGAAUUCAGUGAAUCAUCGAAUCUUUGAACGCACAUUGCGCCCCUUGGUAUUCCAUGGGGCAUGCCUGUUCGAGCGUCAUUUGUACCCUCAAGCUCUGCUUGGUGUUGGGUGUUUGUCCCCGUCUCCGCGCGUGGACUCGCCCCAAAGUGAUUGGCAGCCGGCGUACUGGUCCCGGAGCGCAGCACAUGUCGCGCAAACGAGUGCCUUGGUACGGCGGCGUCCAUAAGCCCCUCUCUCACGCUCUUGACCUCGGAUCAGGUAGGGAUACCCGCUGAACUUAAGC